UACGUAGGGGGGCUAGCGUUGUCCGGAAUCAUUGGGCGUAAAGCGCGUGUAGGCGGUCCGGUAAGUCCGCUGUGAAAGUCGAGGGCUCAACCCUCGAAUGCCGGUGGAUACUGUCGGGCUUGAGUACGGGAGAGGCGAGUGGAAUUCCUGGUGUAGCGGUGAAAUGCGCAGAUAUCAGGAAGAACACCCGUGGCUAAGGCGGCUCUCUAGUACGGUACUGACGCUGAGACGCGAAAGCGUGGGGAGCGAACAGG
rnacentral:rRNA from 1 species